GCUUAGCCUUAAACACAGAUAAUUCCAAAAACAGAACUAUUCGCCAGAGUACUACUAGCAAUAGCUUAAAACUCAAAGGACUUGGCGGUGCUUCAUACCCCUCUAGAGGAGCCUGUUCUAUAAUCGAUAAACCCCGAUAAACCUCACCAACCCUUGCUAAUCCAGUCUAUAUACCGCCAUCUCCAGCAAACCCUAAAAAGGACUAAAAGUAAGCUCAACUAUCACACAUAAAGACGUUAGGUCAAGGUGUAACCUAUGGGCUGGGAAGAAAUGGGCUACAUUUUCUARAACAAGAAUACAACCCACCUGAACGAAAACUCCUAUGAAAACUAGGAACUAAAGGAGGAUUUAGUAGUAAAUCARGAGUAGAGUGCUUGAUUGAACAAGGCCAUGAAG
rnacentral:rRNA from 1 species